rnacentral:lncRNA from 1 species
UAUUGAUUGAUUUAUUUUUUGGUACCAGGGAUUGAACUCGGGUCCUUGUGCUUGCAAGGCAAGCCACCGAACCGCUGAGCUGAAUCCGCGGCCCUUCAAAGGUAUUAUUUUAAAAUGCUGCUAAAUGAUAUGAUCAAAGUCAUAUUGGAAAAUGACAAAUCAUUCAUCAAGAACCACAACCCUAAGUUACAGAGGUGAUCAAAUGCAUCUGAAAGGCCUUUUCUCUCACAGUUGCUACGGUACAUACUGCUUCUGCGGAAGAAGAAACGAUGAGAGAGAUAACUGUGAGUUUUCACAAAUAAAUGUAAUCAGGAGCACAAUAAAUUAUACAUCUUCAUCAUUCCUAAUAUUCCCCCAUGUCCUUGGUGGCCAACCAGUGAGUCCCCUUGAUCUGUUUUCUGCAGAAUAUCACAUAAGUGAAAUCACAGAGUUUGAAUGCUGUCUUUUGAUAAUGGCUUCUUUCAUUAAUUACAGCAUUUAAGCUUUAUUCUUGGUUUUUAUAUUAUUAUCACUCCCC